rnacentral:rRNA from 1 species
UACGAAGGUGGCAAGCGUUGUUCGGAUUUACUGGGCGUACAGGGAGCGUAGGCGGUUGGGUAAGCCCUUCGUGAAAUCUCCGGGCCUAACCCGGAAAGUGCGGAGGGGACUGCUCGGCUAGAGGAUGGGAGAGGAGCGCGGAAUUCCCGGGUGUAGCGGUGAAAUGCGUAGAGAUCGGGAGGAAGGCCGGUGGCGAAGGCGGCGCUCUGGAACAUUUCUGACGCUGAGGCUCGAAAGCGUGGGGAGCAACAGG